GGUCUGUUAGCUCAGUUGGUUAGAGCGUCGUACUAAUAUUUCUCACGAAAUAUCAUGUAAUGCGAAGGUCAUGAGUUCGACCCUCAUACGGACCA
rnacentral:tRNA from 1 species